GAUGAACGCUGGCGGCGUGCUUAACACAUGCAAGUCGAACGGAAAGGCCCAAGCUUGCUUGGGUACUCGAGUGGCGAACGGGUGAGUAACACGUGGGUGAUCUGCCCUGCACUUCGGGAUAAGCCUGGGAAACUGGGUCUCAUACCGGAUAGGACCUCAUUUUGGAUGGUGUGGUGGAAAGUUUUUCGGUGUGGGAUGAGCUCGCGGCCUAUCAGCUUGUUGGUGGGGUAAUGGCCUACCAAGGCGCCGACGGGUAGCCGGCCUGAGAGGGUGUACGGCCACAUUGGGACUGAGAGACGGCCCAGACUCCUACGGGAGGCAGCAGUGGGGAAGAUUGCACAAGGGGCGCAAGCCUGAUGCAGCGACGCUUCGUGGGGGAUGACGGCCUUCGGGUUGUAAACUCCUUUCGCUAGGGACGAAGCGUUAUGUGACGGUACCUGGAGAAGAAGCACCGGCUAACUACGUG
rnacentral:rRNA from 1 species